AUCCUACGGGAGGCAGCAGUGGGGAAUUUUGGACAAUGGGGGCAACCCUGAUCCAGCCAUGCCGCGUGAGUGAAGAAGGCCUUCGGGUUGUAAAGCUCUUUCGGACGGAACGAAAUGGUUACGGUGAAUAUCCGUGACUGAUGACGGUACCGUAAGAAGAAGCACCGGCUAACUACGUGCCAGCAGCCGCGGUAAUACGUAGGGUGCGAGCGUUAAUCGGAAUUACUGGGCGUAAAGCGUGCGCAGGCGGUUCGCCAAGUCAGGUGUGAAAUCCCCGGGCUUAACCUGGGAAUUGCGCUUGAAACUAGCGGGCUUGAGUGUGGCAGAGGGGGGUGGAAUUCCACGUGUAGCAGUGAAAUGCGUAGAGAUGUGGAGGAACACCGAUGGCGAAGGCAGCCCCCUGGGUCAACACUGACGCUCAUGCACGAAAGCGUGGGGAGCAAACAGGAUUAGAUACCCUGGUAGUCCACGCCCUAAACGAUGUCGACUAGGUGUUGGGGAAGGAGACUUCCUUAGUACCGCAGCUAACGCGUGAAGUCGACCGCCUGGGGAGUACGGUCGCAAGAUUAAAACUUAAAGGAAUUGACG
rnacentral:rRNA from 1 species